UUGCAAUAGGGAUAAUCGUAGAAAUCCUUUUUUUGCUUGGGUUUUAUUAUUCUUAAUGGUAGGUAGCGUGUGCAAAAAAGAUUGUAACGGAUAGCCCGACCGAAU
rnacentral:sRNA from 1 species